CAGCCGCCACCCCCAACCCUCUCGCUCCCCCUCCGUUUCAAUCUCUCGGUCCCCAACCACCCAGCCGCCGCCGCCGUCCUCCGUCCUCUCCCCCAACCCCGGCCACCGGCGAUCCCGCCCCUCCCCUUCUCUCCCACGGCCACGGUCGAAUCCUCGCUCAUGACAUAGACCUAGCCGCAUGGCACGGCCAUGGCCAUGGCGGCGGCCAGAUCCACCCCUCCCUCAUCCCCUCACCGCCGCCACCUCCUCCCCGUCCUGCAGCGGCGCGUCCCGCCACCACCUCCUUCCUCGACUGGUUCUCCUCCCGUCCGCGUUCCCUUCCCCACCCGUCUCGCCUGCUCCUUCUCCCACCCCGAUUCACCCAACCAAACCAGAGCAGACCGCAACACUCCACUACUCCUUCUCCCAUCCUGAUUCCUCCCCAAUUCCAGCCGCCGCCGCGCCGCCCGCCAAAAUCCUCUCCCCCAGCCCCACUGCCGCCGGUCGGCGACCCCGUCUCCCCAAGCCCCUCCGGCGACCCUUCCCCGUGGGCGCCCCAAACCCUAGCCUCUCGCGGACGGGGCGACAGAGAUGGCCAGUGAUCCUUCCUCCAUGCGUGUUCCAGCGAAGACUGCGCCAGAUCCCUUCCCUCGUAGUACAUGGGGGAUCUCGCCGCCGCCGCCGCGGUGGCCCUUGACGAUGGCAAGGUAGGAGGCGGCCAGAUGCAGAUCUCAUCUCUUCUUGUUCUGCACGGGCCAGGCCACGACCACGGCAAGCGGAAGGAUGCACGACGGGCUGGACGACAAGGUGGAGAUCCUGGACACACGGAGGGGCUACCAAACCGGUGUUGCGCCAAGAACGACUCCGCAGCCCAUACAGGAGGUGGACUGCAUACUGGAACUGCCUCACAUUGGAUGACAAAUUUGGUCCCCGUGCCAUCCAUGGAGGAGUUUCAGGAAGCCUACUCGACCUCUCUCCUUGCCGCGACCCAACCAUAAAGUACCUUUCUUAACGUGAUUUGCCCGCGCAGAUUUUUAGUCUGUUUACACCUGAACAUAACACUCUGUUUAAUAAACCAAACACAUAGUUUACUUGCAGCACCAUAUGGUCUGAUGAUGAAUGAUGCCAGAUUUUCAGUCUGCUAGCACUGGAACAUAACACCAUGUGUUUUAUAGCACCACUUUGCAUCACAGGACAAUGCAUGGUUUUCGUAUUAGAAGUUUGAAUGUCAUAUUACUCGAAUGCAGAAAUUGACCAAAGGUAUCAGUUGAAGUCACGUUAUCAUCAUUAGUCUGUUGAAUAUAACUUACAGGGGUUUUGGUCCAGUUGGUGACUUGCUUAGCUUGCUGCAGAACCCGUAGAAUAUCUACUUUAUGCUUUCGAUGUAUCAUUCUUUGAAAACUCAGCUCCUACUAUUCACCUUGUAGAUUUUUUAUUCUGCAACAUAUUUGGUUUUGUCAUAAAAUGAUUGGAUUAUUCUGAAGAAGUAUAGUGUAACCUUCCAAUGCGAGAAAAUGGUCUUGCGGUCUUAAUUUAGUCUGAUUAAAAAAUCGGUCGUGCUCACAAGCAGUAUAUAUGCACUUGCUUGGUUAAUUGUUAGCAGUUUAGCUAUACACAAGCUGACUGACAUUGCACAAUAAAAUGUAGUAGAUUUGCAGCCCACUAGCACAAACUGACUGAUAGCAAUCCUCUCUCUCGUAUAGAAGUACAUGCUAUCUAAUGUGAGCAAAAUCAUUGCGUAAAUACAGGUACAACAUAUGACUAAUUUACACAGUAUACUAAAAUUGGACCCCAUGCAUUCAGUUUCAGAACUUGAAACUAACCUGACUAGUAGCUUCUCUGUCUUCCAGUUUACAACUUCCAGGAUAUCAAUCAUUCAUUCUCAAGUUGCUACCCGACAACUACAGGACGCCUUGUUCUGGAAUUUUCAUGUUCUUUUUUAUGUGUAUAUGCCUUCCUCUUCGAUUUCAAGCUUGUGAUUGAGGUUAAUUGAUGGUGGUGCUUGCGCGAUGCAGAUGUUGGGGAUGGCGGAGAAGGAGAUGGAGUAUCGGGUCGAGCUUUGAACCUUUAUUGUGUUGAAUUCUUACUAGACACAGAACAAAAUUCGGCUCACAUGUUUCUUUAUGCUCUGAAUGUUCAACAGUUUUGAACCUUUAAGCUACUGUUUUGACAUUAAGUGGAUUACAUGAAUCAGUUUGAUACUAUUUUGGUGUUGCUUUAUCUUUAAACUAGUCCCCCUUUCUCAUGGUCACUUGUAUUUGCCGAUUGUAAGGAUUUUCUCCAUGGAAAGAAAAUAUCAGUAGAUUUCAAAUUCUAAACUGAUGCACCAUGAACAAAAACUUAUUCCCUGUUGUGGUGGGAUUAUUCCACUAUUUGCUUGCUGCUGUACCAUGGUAUCUAUAGGUUAUUAGUAUUGUUGAUCCCGACCAUGAGCUUGAAUGGUAUAGUAUUAGAAGAGCAUCAGUUUAAUUUGUAGCAGUGAGGUCACUGAUUUUUGUUCUUUCAUGCCAUGGUACGAUUAUGAUUGGAAUGGCAUCCACUUAACAUGUUAGAAUGCACUGAUUGUUUGUGCUGAUUCCUGGUCUAUAUCAGGGGUAUAAGUUUAUUACUUUCUAUCUAGGUUUGUUAGCUAUGGAUGAUUGCAGUGAUGUUCUUCUAAAUUUGCAAGAUAAAUGGCAUGUUCCUUGCUCUCACCUAUGAGUAGGUGUGAUAUUGUGUUAAGAGUCAUUUGUUUUGUAAGUUUUCAUCACAUGAGAUGUUCCUUAGAUGGAAAUGAGUGUUAUCGAGGAAAUGGUUUUAGGUAAACCAGCACCUCUCAUCAGUCUUUCUUACUCAGUGUUAUCAUCUGCUUGGUUUUAGGUGAUGGACUCAUUUCCCGCGGUGGUUUUGCUUGCGUUUUCCUGAUGUUGUUUCGUGUCUGGUUCUGAUUCGCUUUGCUGCUAUUAUUUCUGUGGCGAUGCAGACUUGUGGUGACGAAGAGCAAGGCCGAGAAGGACUCCAACAAGCCCAAGCGCCCUCUGAGCGCCGUCUUAGUCCUCAUGGACAGCUUCAGGAAGGACUCCAACUUCAAGCAUGUCCCCAUGGUUGGCAAGGGCGGUGGUGAGAAGUGGAAGUAUCUUGAGUGAUGUUGAGAAGGCUCCCUAAUUGCCAAGGCCAAGUACACCAAGAAGAUCGACACCUACGACAACACACUGGCAGGAGAGGCGUCUGACGACUCUAACAAGUCCCAGUCUGAGGUGAGCGAUGCAAAGCAGCAGGAGGGGGAGGGGGUCUCUGAAAUGUCACCGCUUUCGCUCAUUGCUAGUGUCACCGAUGGAUUAUGGGUAGUUGCUGUUAGUUUAGCUCCUUAGUAGUAUCUCCUAGUCUUUCAGGCGGCUGCUGCUGGUAGCUAUAAUCUAUUCACCGAUUGAUGAUGGAUUGUUGAAUGUACUUACUGUUGUACCCGUGGCUGUUUAAGGAAUACUUUUGUGUUGAAAGAAAUAAAAUGGUCUUGA